rnacentral:rRNA from 1 species
AUACGUAGGUGACAAGCGUUAUCCGGAUUUACUGGGUGUAAAGGGCGUGUAGGCGGUUUAGCAAGUCAGAAGUGAAAUUCCCGGGCUUAACUUGGGCGCUGCUUCUGAAACUGCUUUACUUGAGUGCUGGAGAGGAUAGUGGAAUUCCUAGUGUAGCGGUAAAAUGCGCAGAUAUUAGGAGGAACACCGGUGGCGAAGGCGGCUAUCUGGACAGUAACUGACGCUGAGGCGCGAAAGCACGGGGAGCAAACAGGAUUAGAUACCCUGGUAGUCCGUGCCGUAAACGAUGAAUACUAGGUGUAGGGGGUAUCGACUCCCUCUGUGCCGCAGUUAACACAAUAAGUAUUCCGCCUGGGGAGUACGGCCGCAAGGUUGAAACUCAAAGGAAUUGACGGGG